AUGAGGAGGAGAGAAGUGGAGGCGCCGGCGCUAGGAGAUUUCGAAAGAGAACACCACUCUCCAGAUCUCGCCCGUCUGCCGCACCGACUUCGCUCUGAUUUGUACCUUGACGGCCGCCGUGUCUGCUCCCGUGAUGCGCUGAUCUGCUGCCGACCGCUCUGCUCCUUUGCGGACGUUGCCGAGGCGGAGGAUGGAGAUGGGAGGACCGGAGGAGGCGGCGGCGGCAACAGCUGGAAGGGAGUGAAUAGCAAAAAACCAUCACACUACGGGUCAUUAGGGAUGUAA
rnacentral:rRNA from 1 species